AGGACGAACGCUGGCGGCGUGCCCAAUACAUGCAAGUCGAACGAGACUUUCCUUGGUGGUAACACCUUUGAUUGUCUAGUGGCGAACGGGUGAGUAACACGUGAGAAACCUGCCCUGAAGACGGGGAUAACAGAAGGAAACUUCUGCUAAUACCCGAUACCCCCACCGGAUCGCAUGGUCUGGUGAGGAAAUGGAUUCCGCUUCAGGAGGGUCUCGCGGCCUAUCAGCUUGUUGGUGAGGUAACGGCUUACCAAGGCUUGGACGGUAGCUGGUCUGAGAGGACGAUCAGCCACACUGGGACUGAGACACGGCCCAGACUCCUACGGGAGCAGCAGUAAGGAAUAUGCGCAAUGGGCAAAGCCUAGACGCAGCAACGCCGCGUGCGGGAUCGGAACGGGCCCCCCGGGUUAGUAAACCGCUUUCGAAGGUUACGGAAGAAAAGUGAACGGUACCUACGAGAAGAACGCCCCGGACAACGUACGUGCCAGCAGCCGAC
rnacentral:rRNA from 1 species